rnacentral:rRNA from 1 species
UACGGAGGGUGCGAACGUUAAUCGGAAUUACUGGGCGUAAAGGGCUCGUAGGCGGCCAACUAAGUCAGACGUGAAAUCCCUCGGCUUAACCGGGGAACUGCGUCUGAUACUGGGUGGCUUGAAUCCGGGAGAGGGAUGCGGAAUUCCAGGUGUAGCGGUGAAAUGCGUAGAUAUCUGGAGGAACACCGGUGGCGAAGGCGGCAUCCUGGACCGGUAUUGACGCUGAGGAGCGAAAGCCAGGGGAGCAAACGGG